rnacentral:rRNA from 1 species
AAUCAACGCUGGCGGCGUGCCUAACACAUGCAAGUCGAACGAGAAAGUGGAGCAAUCCAUGAGUAAAGUGGCGACCGGGUGAGUAACACGUGACUAACCUACCUUCGAGUGGGGGAUAACCUCGGGAAACCGGGGCUAAUACCGCAUAACAUCUUUGAAGUGGAAAUUUCGGAGAUCAAAGGAGCAAUUCGCUGGAAGAGGGGGUCGCGGCUGAUUAGCUAGUUGGCGGGGUAACGGCCCACCAAGGCUUAGAUCGGUAGCCGGCCUGAGAGGGCGCACGGCCACACUGGAACUGAACACGGUCCAGACUCCUACGGGAGGCAGCAGUGGGGAAUUUUGCGCAAUGGGGGAAAGCCUGACGCAGCGACGCCGCGUGAGGGAUGAC